rnacentral:rRNA from 2 species
UUCGACACACUAUCAUUAACUGAAUCCAUAGGUUAAUGAGGCGAACCGGGGGAACUGAAACAUCUAAGUACCCCGAGGAAAAGAAAUCAACCGAGAUUCCCCCAGUAGCGGCGAGCGAACGGGGAGCAGCCCAGAGCCUGAAUCAGUGUGUGUGUUAGUGGAAGCGUCUGGAAAGGCGCGCGAUACAGGGUGACAGCCCCGUACACAAAAAUGCACAUGCUGUGAGCUCGAUGAGUAGGGCGGGACACGUGGUAUCCUGUCUGAAUAUGGGGGGACCAUCCUCCAAGGCUAAAUACUCCUGACUGACCGAUAGUGAACCAGUACCGUGAGGGAAAGGCGAAAAGAACCCCGGCGAGGGGAGUGAAAAAGAACCUGAAACCGUGUACGUACAAGCAGUGGGAGCACGCUUAGGCGUGUGACUGCGUACCUUUUGUAUAAUGGGUCAGCGACUUAUAUUCUGUAGCAAGGUUAACCGAAUAGGGGAGCCGAAGGGAAACCGAGUCUUAACUGGGCGUUAAGUUGCAGGGUAUAGACCCGAAACCCGGUGAUCUAGCCAUGGGCAGGUUGAAGGUUGGGUAACACUAACUGGAGGACCGAACCGACUAAUGUUGAAAAAUUAGCGGAUGACUUGUGGCUGGGGGUGAAAGGCCAAUCAAACCGGGAGAUAGCUGGUUCUCCCCGAAAGCUAUUUAGGUAGCGCCUCGUGAAUUCAUCUCCGGGGGUAGAGCACUGUUUCGGCAAGGGGGUCAUCCCGACUUACCAACCCGAUGCAAACUGCGAAUACCGGAGAAUGUUAUCACGGGAGACACACGGCGGGUGCUAACGUCCGUCGUGAAGAGGGAAACAACCCAGACCGCCAGCUAAGGUCCCAAAGUCAUGGUUAAGUGGGAAACGAUGUGGGAAGGCCCAGACAGCCAGGAUGUUGGCUUAGAAGCAGCCAUCAUUUAAAGAAAGCGUAAUAGCUCACUGGUCGAGUCGGCCUGCGCGGAAGAUGUAACGGGGCUAAACCAUGCACCGAAGCUGCGGCAGCGACGCUGAUGCGUUGUUGGGUAGGGGAGCGUUCUGUAAGCCUGCGAAGGUGUGCUGUGAGGCAUGCUGGAGGUAUCAGAAGUGCGAAUGCUGACAUAAGUAACGAUAAAGCGGGUGAAAAGCCCGCUCGCCGGAAGACCAAGGGUUCCUGUCCAACGUUAAUCGGGGCAGGGUGAGUCGACCCCUAAGGCGAGGCCGAAAGGCGUAGUCGAUGGGAAACAGGUUAAUAUUCCUGUACUUGGUGUUACUGCGAAGGGGGGACGGAGAAGGCUAUGUUGGCCGGGCGACGGUUGUCCCGGUUUAAGCGUGUAGGCUGGUUUUCCAGGCAAAUCCGGAAAAUCAAGGCUGAGGCGUGAUGACGAGGCACUACGGUGCUGAAGCAACAAAUGCCCUGCUUCCAGGAAAAGCCUCUAAGCAUCAGGUAACAUCAAAUCGUACCCCAAACCGACACAGGUGGUCAGGUAGAGAAUACCAAGGCGCUUGAGAGAACUCGGGUGAAGGAACUAGGCAAAAUGGUGCCGUAACUUCGGGAGAA